rnacentral:rRNA from 1 species
AUGGUUCGCAACUUCUGGUGGGGCGCCUAUGAGGGCAAGAGGAAGACGCACUUGCUUGCUUGGCCAAAGAUCCAGGCGCAGAAAAGCAAGGGUGGUCUGGGGUUCAGAGAUUUCCGCCUUUUUAACCAGGCUCUCCUAGCGAGGCAGGCCUGGCGUUUGCUUACUAAACCCACCAGUUUGUGUGCGCAGGUGCUAAAGGCCCGAUACUACCAUGAUGGACGCCUUGAGGACACGGUCUUCUCAGGGAACUCCUCCCCAACCUGGCAGGCUAUCCAACAUGGCCUCGAGCUCCUGAAAAAGGGCAUCAUAUGGCGUGUUGGGAACGGUCAGGACAUUCGCAUAUGGCGGGACCGAUGGUUGCCACGGGAGCCCUCUCUUCAGCCCAUCACUCAGCAGGGCACUUGCCGCCCGCGGAGGGUGGCCGAGCUCCUCGACGGCGAGGGCUCUUGGCGCACCGGCCUACUACAGCGCUACUUCCUGCCGGCGGAUGUCGCCGUCAUCACUAGCAUCCGGACCUCGCCACGCGUCACCAACGAUAUCAUCGCCUGGGCGCCGGAGAAGAACGGUAUCUUCACCAAGGUACGCGUGUUUGCGUGGAGGGUUGUCACAAAUUCACUUGCUACUUGGGCCAACAAGGCUUCACGGCACCUCGAGGAUACUGACGUCUGCCCCCUAUGUGGCAUUGAACGCAAGGACGGAUUCCACGCGCUUUGCAGGUGCCCACUGGCAAGGGAGCUAUGGAGACUCAUGGCGAUGGACUGGAACAUACCCAAGGUGGAGACCAUCCGGGACACGGGGCCAGAGUGGCUAUUCGCCUUGUUGGAACCCCUGGAUGAGACGGCGAGGCUGGUGGUCCUCAUGAUCAUGUGGAGAGUAUGGCAUGUCCGCAAUGAGAUUACCCAUGACAAACCGCCACCUCCUGCCGAGGCCUCUCGUCGAUUCUUACAUGGCUAUAUUACUUCACUAUUAUGCAUCCAGCAACAUUCGCAUGCCAAUAUGGAGAAGGGGAAGAUGGUGGUUUGUGAUGGCCGGCCGGGCAUGCAGCCCUGCAGGAUAGCGACGGCGCGGCCGAGUUGGGCCCCCCCUAGUGCGGGCUGGGCCAAACUUAACACAGAUGGCAGCUUUGUUGCAGCCACAGGAGCAGCAGGAGGAGGCAUGAUCCUUCAAGAUGAUGGAGGGGAUAUCAUCUAUAGCGCGUGCAGAGAAAUUCGCACGCGUGAGAGUGCGCUGGAGGCGGAGCUCUCGGCGUGUAGAGAAGGCCUAGACCUUGCCUUACACAGGACGACGAUGCCUAUCAUUGUUGAGAUGGAUAGUGCGGAGGCUGUGGCGAUGCUCAAAGCACCCACAACAGAUAGAUCGCAGCUCUCGUUGAAGAGAUUAGCAGUCUAG